rfam:Gossypium raimondii Chr03_contig_13, whole genome shotgun sequence.
UGUUAAAAAUUUCAUCCAUUUGUAUUGUUAAAAACUGACAUAGUUGACGGAAUAACUUGACAGUGUACCUCGUGCUGACAUACAAUGAACAGUUUUUAAUAGUAGAAAUACAUAGAAUUUUUAACA